rnacentral:misc_RNA from 1 species
CUAAAAAAAAAAAACAAAUAAAUAAAAAUAAAAUAAAUUUAAAAUAAUAAUAACAAUAAUAAUAUUUCUUUUUUUUAUUUUCUUUAUUUCUUUUUUUUUUUAAUUUAAUUUUGCUUUUUAUUCUUUUUUUCUUGUUCAAUUUAGGUACUUUUCUUUCCUUGUCUUGUUCAUCUUUUAUUUUCUUUUACUGUAUUCUAAGGCACUCCUUUAAUAAAAGGUACUUGGUAGCGAUUCCUCUUCUCCUUCUCACAAACCUUUAUUAGCGACAUCUACCGCACUACCAACCUCUCGACAUCAACUUGACCCUUCGCUUCUCUAUUCCGUCCCACCCUCCCUCGCUUUUUACAAACCUUCUUACUUAGCGAUACACCUUAAUUCGAGCUUCUUUCACAAAAGUCCAUAUCAAGUCGUUCGUCUCCCUUUUCACUUCUAUAACCCCAGUCUUUACUCUCUCGUGUAAUUUUUUUUCUCCUACUCUUACUCUUCUACUUUUACUACUACUCUUCUUUUUUCUCUAUUUUCCUACACUUCCCUCUCUCUCUCUCUCUCUCUCUCUCUCUCUCAUCCUCUUCAUAUCUAUCUUUCAUUAAAUUUCCUACAUCUUACUUCUUCUUCUCUCUCUUUUCCCUCCUUUUUCUCUUCCCCCCCCCCCUCAACUACCAUCCAUCGCCAUCAAGUUCGUAUUUGUCGCAAUCCAGUCAUGCACUUGUCGACUAAUCCCAUGGAAAUACGGUGUUGCAUACUUUGAAUAGAUCGCAUAGUGGUGAUCAAACGGAUUUUCUAGACAUUUCAACAGUAGAUGCACAUACGAAACUAAACUCAUAUAAUCAUAUCCCGUAAUUUGAGGCAACGUAUUGCUCCAGUUUUCCUCUUGCAAUAUAGAUUGGCCGGUGUAGGCGCAUGUCGCUACCAAUUGACUCGCCCUUAGACUUGAAAAUCUUUGUUCCACUAGCGAUACUUCAAGAAAAUAUUUUAUCAUUAUUCGCAGCUGCGACUCCCAUUUGUUGACAAUCGUCAAUAGCCUCAAAAACGAUACUGGCCCCGGCCACCCAAGUUGAUAUUGAAGAACCAUAAGCAUAUACUUUUCCAUUCCGCAAAUAUCUUCUCCUAUCCAUUCUCCCUCCAACACUAUUUCCAAAUCUUUCACUGUAGGAGGAUGGAUCUCUUCAUACUUGCAAGCAAUAAACAGCGCCGUUGCGCCGCAAAGUUUCAUUUUCGAUGCUGGCACAUUUUGUAGAGAUAGAAAUCUAUCCAAUACAUUGAUCGAUAGGAAUAAGGAUUCUGGAAGCAGGUUUAUACAUGUAUGCACCCCCACAAUCCAAUUGAUCACACUAGCCCUCAUCUCUGUAACAUAAUAUGGUUGAGCCGACAUAUGUCGGUAAUCAGGCAUAAAUCGAAUCUAAAAAAUGUUAAUAAAUAAAAACUUCUUCAACUCCUUCAUCUUCUUGUUUUCCUUCCCCCUUUUCUUCCCAUUUUUUUCAUACCUCCAAUUUCUCCAUGUGCGAUAGGAUUUCUUUUGCGUAUUCCACAGACACCGAUUCAUCUGCUGAAUAUCUCAUCUGUAAUUCCUCCUCUUCAUCCUCCUCUGCACAAUUGUCAUUUGAUUCUUCAAUCGCUAUGCCAAAUUCCGAAACACUGCAAUUAGGACUUUGAACGUUACUGAUCGAGCAAACAUCCAAAUCUACCAAAAGCUGUUUCUCCGUAAAGACUAUCUCUUCCUCUAAAGGUGACGCUAAAAAACUAUCAUAGUCCUUUUGUAUUUGCGACUCUUCAAUUGAACUAAUUCCAUGCCAGCUCUGUGACGGAAAAUGUUUAUCUGAUGGGCUACACCCAUUUUGAAGGGAUAUUUCUCGUACCUGUGCGUUCACCCAGCCUUUUACGUUCAAUGAUUUGGAAACAUAAUUGCUUAUUUCUUGAAGCGCAACUCUUUUGUUGUUAGAGUUCAUGUUUGAAUUGGUUCUCGUUGCUGAAACGGUCGCUUUAAUUGUUUCAACCAAGCUCUUAGGUAGGCAAGUAUCAGUCAAUACAAUUGCUUUUACUCUUUAAUGAUUGGGAAUCAAAUCAAACCGUUUUCUUGAACUUUUUGUUGUAAAAUGGCAGUAUGCUAUUAGCAGGUUCUGUUUGUUUACAGUGAGUCAACAAAAAGUUGAUGGUGAAAAUGUUUGUUUAUUUCCCAUAUACAUAUACCAACGGUCGUAACCUUAAAGUAAAACACAACCCAAAACUAAACUUUACCUCUACUAUAUCAGAAUUCAUGCUGCUUAAAAAUUCCAAACAAUGCCCGAAUUCAUGAAAUAGGUUUUUGUGUUGAUCGAAACGUUAUCAAAGUAAAGCAAGGAUUUUGAUCAAAAACUCUUUUAUUAUUUGUAUUGAUGAGUUUUUACAGUCGCUCAUCGGUUGUAAACAUUCCAUUAUUUUACCGUUUUCGAAUCAUUGAAAACUGAACAUAAGAAAUCUUGCUACAAUUAAGCUUUUUUUCUAUUAGGUAACCAUCAAACAAGCUUAAAAAAAAUAAUUAAUUUACGCCUUCUCGUAAGUUAUUAUAAUCAAACAAAUUGAAAUGUAAUUGAAAAGAAUCUCCUAUUCUAAGAUUUUUCUACAAACUUGCUUCGAAAGUUUCUUCUGCACUUAUACAAUGCUAUAAGGAAUAUUCCUUUCUUCUAAUUUUGAUCGAUUUUCGCAAAGUAGGAUUGCCUGAUACAAUGUCAAGGAUCUGAUUUAAUUUCCUUAAAAAAAAAAAAAAGAAAGAAAAUGAAAACUCAACAACUUUAAAUCAUAUUACAGUUCCCAUAUUUACUUGAUAUCCCAAGUUUACUACGACUUAACUUCUACCACUAUCCUUUGAGAAGCACAUGGAUUCGAAGAAAUAGCAUAUGGAAGUUUAAAAGUUAACGGGUCUCCGAAAUCCAUUCAAAAGUUUAAUUCCAUAAAAACAA